GGGGGUGGUUGGGUCCCUGUGGGCUCCCCGGGCUUCAAAACCGGUGGCGGGGCGCGUUGCGGGCCGCGGUGGGUUCGACUCCCAUCCACUCCCG
rnacentral:tRNA from 1 species